rnacentral:rRNA from 1 species
GACAGAGGCCCCGAGCGUUAGUCGGAAUUACUGGGCUUAAAGGGUGCGUAGGCGGGCGUGUAAGUGCCUUGUGAAAUCCCUGGGCUCAACCCAGGAACCGCAGGGCAUACUGCACGUCUUGAGGGAGCUAGAGGCCGGUGGAACGAUCGGUGGAGCGGUGGAAUGCGUAGAGAUCGAUCGGAACGCCAAGGGUGAAGACAACCGGCUGGGGCUCUCCUGACGCUGAGGCACGAAAGCGUGGGGAUCAAACAGG